CAUGCAGGCGGUUAGACAAGUCAGGUGUGAAAUCCCCGCGCUUAACGUGGGCAUUGCAUUUGAAACUAUGUAGCUAGAGUUCUGUAGAGGGGGGUAGAAUUCCUAGUGUAGCGGUGAAAUGCGUAGAUAUUAGGAGGAACACCAGUGGCGAAGGCGACUUUCUGGACUGUAACUGACGCUGAGGCUCGAAAGCGUGGGGAGCGAACAGGAUUAGAUACCCGUGUA
rnacentral:rRNA from 1 species